rnacentral:rRNA from 1 species
UACGUAGGUGGCAAGCGUUGUCCGGAUUUAUUGGGUUUAAAGGGUGCGUAGGCGGUCUUUUAAGUCAGUGGUGAAAUACUUCAGCUCAACUGGAGAGGUGCCAUUGAUACUGGGAGACUUGAGUACUGAUGAGGUAGGCGGAAUGGACGGUGUAGCGGUGAAAUGCUUAGAUAUCGUCCAGAACACCGAUAGCGAAGGCAGCUUACUAAGGAGUAACUGACGCUGAGGCACGAAAGCGUGGGGAGCGAACAGG